GCAUUUGUUUAUUCUUAGACUUAAUAUAGUUGCAUAGUAAUUGGUACUGACCAUGGAAACAACAUGUAGAAUUAAUAUGAUUGAUUUUUUUUUUCUUGAACCGAAAAUUGCUUUUAUGCCACAACUUCAUUAUCUAGAAAUCAGAAUGAUGAAAUCUUACAAUAGAGAGCAUAAAUGGAGCAGCAGAAGUUAAAAAUAAAUAAAUGCAUUCACUCUUAUUUCAUUUGGAAAAGUUCCUAUGUACAACAGGCAGAACAAAUGAAGAGGAACAGGUAGAUCUGAUCUGCUGUGACAGAACCUAACAGGCUUAGCUGCCUUCUGCACAUUGCUGACCCCACUGAUUAAGCACCACUCAGACACUGCUGUUUGAAAGCUUUUAAAAAUCCUUAAAUCUUACAACAUUAAAGACAAAGGGAGAAGGCUGUGUAACUUGUAGGAAUUAACACUUAAAAAUGUCUUUGUGUAUACCCCUACAUGGAACACUUGUCACCUUGUCUUCAGCAGGUAGUUUGUAGAAUCUGUUGUUGGUGUGUUCCAGCAGAUUGUCUGGCUUGAGAUCUUAAUUAUAAAUGCAUUCAUAUUCAUAUUCCCUGGUCUUUCAUCUGCAGGUAACCUUUGAGUUUCUUGAGAUUAUCUCAGAAAUUACUGCUUCAGAUUUCAGUGUCAUAAACGGGUACCCAGCUGCUCCCGUCACACUUUCCUCAACAGAAAGCCUUAUGGAGCUUCUCUUAUCCAAUGGAAACUCCAACCCAGGCUGGCAGCUUUUCAGUUUCCUGUGAGCCUGUGGUGUUGAGUCAAAGCAGCGUGCUCUGGGACAGCCUGUGUAGCAGACCAGCCUGUCGUGCUCAUGUCCUCAGUGUUUGCCGGACGGGUCUACAAGCAGUUUGUUAUCUUAGCCAAAGGGGAAGCCAAGCUGCACUGGGGCUGAGCAAAGCCAUGUGUACUGGUUUUGUGUGUCCCAAGUGCAUCUCCAAGUUCAUUGUAAUGGGUACUGGAGUCCUUGGCAGCAUUGGUAGGUAA
rnacentral:lncRNA from 1 species